AGCGAACGCUGGCGGCAGGCCUAACACAUGCAAGUCGAACGGAUCCUUCGGGAUUAGUGGCGGACGGGUGAGGAACACGUGGGAACGUGCCUUUUGGUUCGGAACAACUCAGGGAAACUUGGGCUAAUACCGGAUGAGAGUGCGAGAGAUUGCAUUUAAAAGGAUGGCGAAAGUUGUCGCUUAGGGAUGAGCCUGCGGUCUAUUAGUUAGUUGGUGAGGUAAGAGCUCACCAAGGCGAUGAUAGAUAGGCGGCCUUAACGGGUGGUCGCCCACACUGGGAUUGAGAUACGGCCCAGACUCCUACGGGAGGCAGCAGUCGAGAAUAGUCUACAAUGGCCGGAAGGCUGAUAGUGCGACGCCGCGUGAACGAGGGAGCCCUUCGGGGUGUAAAGUUCUUUUCUAUACGAGCAGUGCUAUAUAUAUGGAUAGUAUAUAUAGAGGGAUAGUAGUAUAGGAAUAAGCAACGGCUAACUCCGUGCCAGCAGCCGCGGUAAU
rnacentral:rRNA from 1 species